rnacentral:rRNA from 1 species
GACAGAGGGGGCAAGCGUUGCUCGGAAUUACUGGGCGUAAAGGGCGCGUAGGCGGGCUGGCAAGUCGGUCGUGAAAUCCUUCGGCUCAACCGAAGAACGUCGAUCGAUACUGCUGUUCUUGAGGGUUGCAGAGGAGACUGGAAUUCCCGGUGUAGCGGUGAAAUGUGUAGAGAUCGGGAGGAACACCGGUGGCGAAGGCGGUUCUCUGGGCCUGACCUGACGCUGAGGAGCGAAAGCGUGGGGAGCGAACAGG